CGUUAGGACGAACGCUGGCGGCGUGCCUAAUACAUGCAAGUCGAGCGCGGGAAGCGGACUCGUCACCCGUUCGGGGUGUCUAGUCCGUGGAACGAGCGGCGGAGUGGGUGAGUAUCACGUGGGCAACCUGCCUGUAAGAUUGGGAUAACUCGCGGAAACGUGAGCUAAUACCGAAUGAAGUCUUUUCACCGCCUGGUGAAAGGAUGAAAGAUGGCUUUUUAGCUAUCACUUACAGAUGGGCCCGCGGCGCAUUAGCUAGUUGGUGGGGUAAAGGCCUACCAAGGCGACGAUGCGUAGCCGACCUGAGAGGGUGAUCGGCCACACUGGGACUGAGACACGGCCCAGACUCCUACGGGAGGCAGCAGUAGGGAAUUCUUCCGCAAUGGACGAAAGUCUGACGGAGCAACGCCGCGUGAGUUGAUGAAGGUCUUCGGAUCGUAAAAACUCUGUUGUCAGGGAAGAACAAGUUGUGUUCUAACAGGACAUGACCUUGACGGUACCUGACCAGAAAGCCCCGGCUAACUACGUGCCAGCCGCAGC
rnacentral:rRNA from 1 species